rnacentral:sRNA from 1 species
GAUGCAGGCGUCAGCGAGAAAGCGUUGCCGCAGGCAACGACCCGAAGGGCGAAGCGCGCAGCGCUGAGUCAUCCUUCCCCCACCACCA